UCCCCGUUACCGGGGCAGUCUACCUAGAAAAAUACAACUAAGUAUAAGGGUUGCGCUCGUUGAUGGACUUAACCAAACAUCUCACGACACGAGCUGACGACGGCCAUGCAUCACCUGUCAUAGGGUUCCCUAAGGCACUAAUUGGUUUCCCAAAAAUUCCCUAGAUGUCAAGCCCUGGUAAGGUUCUUCGUUUAGCAUCGAAUUAAAGAACACGAUCCACCGCUUGUGCGGGUCCCCGUCAAUUCCUUUAUGUUUUAGCCUUGCGGCCGUACUCCACAGGCGGGAUACUUAACGCGUUAGCUUCGCUACUGGAGGGGUCGAUACCUCCAACAGCUAGUAUCCAUAGUUUACGGCGUGGACUAC
rnacentral:misc_RNA from 1 species